UACGAAGGGUGCAAGCGUUACUCGGAAUUACUGGGCGUAAAGCGUGCGUAGGUGGUGAGUUAAGUCUGUCGUGAAAGCCCCGGGCUCAACCUGGGAAUGGCGAUGGAUACUGGCUCGCUAGAGUGCGGUAGAGGAGAGUGGAAUUCCCGGUGUAGCAGUGAAAUGCGUAGAGAUCGGGAGGAACAUCAGUUGCGAAGGCGGCUCUCUGGACCAGCACUGACGCUGAGAAGCGAAAGCAUGGGGAGCGAACAGG
rnacentral:rRNA from 1 species